UACGAAGGGGGCUAGCGUUGCUCGGAAUCACUGGGCGUAAAGCGCACGUAGGCGGAUUGCUAAGUCAGGGGUGAAAUCCUGGAGCUCAACUCUAGAACUGCCUUUGAUACUGGCGACCUUGAGUCCGGGAGAGGUGAGUGGAACUGCGAGUGUAGAGGUGAAAUUCGUAGAUAUUCGCAAGAACACCAGUGGCGGAGGCGGCUCACUGGCCCGGUACUGACGCUGAGGUGCGAAAGCGUGGGGAGCAAACAGG
rnacentral:rRNA from 1 species